GACAUAGGUGGCGAACGUUAUCCGGAAUUAUUGGGCGUAAAGGAUGCGUAGAUGGUAGAAUAAGUUACUGGUCGAUGCCAAACUCAAUUUGACGGAAGCUGGUAAUACUGUUCUGCUCGAGGACAGGAGAGGUUGAUGGAAUUCUGUGUGGAGCGGUGAAAUGCGUUGAUCUACAGAGGAACACCAAAAAGGCGAAGGCAGUCAACAUAUUCUGUUCCUGACAUUGAGGCAUUGAA
rnacentral:rRNA from 1 species